CGCACAUUGCGCCCACUAGUAUUCUGGCGGGCAUGCCUGUUCGAGCGUCAUUUCUAAACCUCAAGCUCUUGCUUGGUGUUGGAGCGAGCGUUUUUUCGCAGCUCUCAAAAUCAAUGGCAGAUCUGCAAUGAUCUAGGCGUAGUAAUUUUUCUCGUCUCUGAUUAUUUGUGUGAUCUCGUUGCGCAGUCUAUCCAGCUUCGCUGGAAGAAUAUCUUCAGUUUGACCUCGGCUCAGGUAGGAAUACCCGCUGAACUUAA
rnacentral:misc_RNA from 1 species